CUUUCGGUAGUUUAAAAAAACCCUCCAAUUUCACUGGGGAGAUGGGCUUAAAUGUAAAGGGCCCCCGAAAGA
rnacentral:tRNA from 1 species